rnacentral:rRNA from 1 species
UACGGAGGGGCAAGCGUUAUCGGAUUCACUGGGUUUAAAGGGUGCGUAGGUGGGCUGGUACAGUCAGUGGUGAAAUCUCCAGGCUUAACUUGGAAACUGCCAUUGAUACUAUCAGUCUUGAAUACCGUGGAGGUCAGCGGAAUAUGUCAUGUAGCGGUGAAAUGCUUAGAUAUGACAUAGAACACCAAUUGCGAAGGCAGCUGGCUACACGAAUAUUGACACUGAUGCACGAAAGCGUGGGGAUCAAACAGG